AACGAAAGAUGGAGGAAGGAAGAACACAUGCAAGUCGAACGAGACCUUCGGGUCUAGUGGCGCACGGGUGCGUAACGCGUGGGAACCUGCCCUUAGGUUCGGAAUAACUCCCCGAAAGGGGUGCUAAUACCGGAUAAUGUCUUCGGACCAAAGAUUUAUCGCCUUUGGAUGGGCCCGCGUUGGAUUAGCUAGUUGGUAGGGUAAAAGCCUACCAAGGCGACGAUCCAUAGCUGGUCUGAGAGGAUGAUCAGCCACACUGGGACUGAGACACGGCCCAGACUCCUACGGGAAGCAGCAGUGGGGAAUAUUGGACAAUGGGCGAAAGCCUGAUCCAGCAAUGCCGCGUGAGUGAUGAAGGCCUUAGGGUUGUAAAGCUCUUUUACCCGGGAUGAUAAUGACAGUACCGGGAGAAUAAGCUCCGGCUAACUCCGUG
rnacentral:rRNA from 1 species